GCACAUCUAUAUGAUAUUUUGAUGUUAGCGUUAUACAAGUAGUGAUGUCCUACUUGAAUAUUAUAAUACUGGUAUAUAUGUCCAUAUUACAUGUUCAUGUGACCACACAAAAAAAACCAAAUCCGACGAAUAAAAAAGUCCACAGCCUUGUAACCAAAACCAAAUCGGCUUCAUAUUCAUCUUCAUAUUUGUUUCAUUUAUGUAUUAAAAGGACUUAAAUUUUAUUAAAAAGGCUCGAUUCAUAAAGAGUGAACAAAAUCGACAAGAACAAACUGUAGGGAGUGGCAAAAAAACAAGACAAUAAGCAAAAGGAAGAGAGGGUAAAGCCCCACUGCCACCACGACAGCUUCUCAUUGCCAUCUUCUUUGACGAUAACUUCAUCUUACCUCCGCCAAUAGGUACUAGAUCUAGAUGUCUUUCAUUUUUCUUUAGAUCUCCAUUGCCGCAGAACCUACAUCUUCAUCGUGAGGCUCGAAUCAUUUUCCUCUUUUGAUUUUUUGGACGAUUGAUACGAGAUCUGAAACAAAAUUAGAUGUGAAAAGAAAAUCAUACAUAAUUUAGAUAUAGAUGUGCCAAGAAAUUCAAGGAAAGCUGGAGAAAGAUAAGAGCUCACCUCGGCUCGAAUUGCAAAGGCAGAAGUAAGUCAACCAUGCUCGCGGUGGAAGCUUUCGGAGGAGUUCCAAUGGAUUCAUUAUCGAAGGAGGUCAUGAACUUAUUCGAAAAAAGAAGAGGUCAUGAAAGAAAUUUAAACAGAGCCGUCGAAGCCUUCCACCCAACGCACAUAUCGAUCUUUGAUGGCCGAGUCAAUCGUUGCCGCCGCAAGAUUUGGCGAGAAAAAGAGAGGAGAGAAAUGAGAGAAAAAUAGAGGGAGAGAGGAUGAAAUGAAUAAAUAAGGGAAAUAGAUGAAUAUUAAAGAGGACUACUAUUUGACGCCCUACCUUUCGAAUUAUAUGACGCCCUAAACUUCGUAACAAUAAAACUAUCCAAAUUUACUCAUUCGAAAAACUUUGUAUCGACGAAACUAACGUUCCUGUAAUAAUGUUUUCAGAUAAUCACAUUCUUCACACGGGAUUAACGUUCCUUGAUUGCGCUGACUCGCCAUGAGUAAUUCGGUAAGCGAU
rnacentral:lncRNA from 1 species